AAUUAUCGUGUGAUAGUUCAUUGUAACCAAAAUGCUUGUAUCAAACUUAUUAAAAUAAUGGAAGAUUGUGAUUGUUUCCUAGUGGUUAAUUAACACCAUUGAAGUGUGGAGUAGGCAAAGCGAGGAGGAACUUCAGACCACUAUAUCUUUGUGUAUCUUUUCUUCUUCCCUUAACUACUUUAUUUUACUAGCAUCCAUUAAUAUUGUUAUUGCAUAAUUGCAUUAGUUGUAUGCCACAUAAGAUAAACUUUUCUUAUAGAGAUUUCCUGUAAA
rnacentral:lncRNA from 1 species